rnacentral:rRNA from 1 species
CUACGGGUCGCUGCAGUGAGGAAUUUUGCGCAAUGGGGGAAACCCUGACGCAGCAACGCCGCGUGAGCGAAGAAGGCCUUCGGGUCGUAAAGCUCUGUCAAGUGGGAAAAAAAUUCUUUGAUGAACAGUCAAAGGACUUGAUGGUACCACUGGAGGAAGCACCGGCUAACUCCGUGCCAGCAGCCGCGGUAAUACGGAGGGUGCAAGAGUUGUUCGGAAUUACUGGGCGUAAAGAGCGUGUAGGCGGUUUGACAAGUCAGAUGUGAAAGCCCCGGGCUCAACCCGGGAAGUGCAUUUGAAACUGUUUCACUAGAGUAUGGGAGAGGAGAUUGGAAUUCCUGGUGUAGAGGUGAAAUUCGUAGAUAUCAGGAGGAACACCCGUGGCGAAGGCGAUUCUCUGGACCAAUACUGACGCUGAGACGCGAAAGCGUGGGGCGCAAACAGGAUUAGAUACCCUCGUAGUC